AAGUCCAAGUCAAGCUCAAAAGGGGUAAAAUUUCUUUUGUCAUUUGGCUGGUUAAAUGUAUCUGGAUUCUGGAAUAUCAACUAUCUACUAUCAUUGUUAUAAGUGCCAAGGUCACAUAGGUGUCUUGGUCCUUAGAAUCUGAUUGUGUAGUGGAUCAGGUUAAAUUUUAAGACUUGGGUCCUCGGUUCUGACUCAAUAAUAACUUAAAUCAUUUAUCAAUAACUCAAUGUAACAUUUUGCUUGUUCAAUUUUCAUUCUUAUAAUUGUAUAUUCCUUUUUCUUUGGCUUUGUUUGAUAUGUGAAUUGGGUUAUAAAAUUUAUCAGGUGAGUGCAUUUCCUCUCUCGAGACUCCUUUUUAGGUUUCAUCAUUAUAAAUUGACUAUAAUGGCAUGCAGUAGCAGCAGGGGUAGAACUAAAGAAAAUGUUCGUUUUUUUCGGUGGGGGGAGGGUACGGUGGGGUUGGGGGAUGAUGUGGAGUAGUCAGUGGCUAUGUGGCACGGAAACGGAAAUGUGGACACAGGGAAACGCGGAAACGGACACUGGGAAACGGCAUUUUCAAAAAUAUAGAAACGUGGGGAAAUGAGUAAAUAUAAAAAAAAAAUAUAGGGAUAUAUCAGUAAAUUCAACUAUAUCAAAAAGAAAAACAAAAUCUAUUAAAAUGGGUCUGAUGGGUUUCAUAUUUUUGUCUUAGUUAUAUGAAAAUUAAGUGUUUCAGCCACACUUGCAUAAAGAAUCAAAGAAAAUAUAAAGUGAGAGCUAAAAGGUAUAGAUUAAAACAGUAGAAGAGGAUAUCAAUACCAGACACUUGACAAGGCAUAUUUGUUUACAUAAAAUGGAAAAAAAAAAUUGAAAAUUGGGCUUAUUUGAUUAAUGCCUGGUUUUAUAUUUGCUAAGGACAAACAGAUGUCAAAAAUUUUGCAGUGUCAAUUGUGACAAACACCUUUAAUCUAUUAUCCAUAUAAAUCUUGAAUUUUCUGUAUAAGUUAUCAUAACAUUAAAAUUGAGAUCAUUUGUUCUCUUUUCUCUCCUAAGCAUCAAAAGAGUUUUUGCCUUGAUCAAAUAUACAGAUAUGAUAAUAAAAGAAAAAUAAAGAAGAAUUCAACAAUUCAAUUUCAUUUGUAUGAAAAUUUUGAAAUUAGAAAAACGAUGUUGUCAUGAUUCAAUGGAACACAUUCACUUUUUCUUCUACUAAUCUUUCAUCUUUAGAAUUCAUCUGUUUGAGAAUAUAACUAAUAACAAAUUAUGAAUUUCAUUAUAAAUCACAACUAUAAAGUAUUGACUGAACUGAGCUACAUUAAAAACAUGGAAUAAAAUAAUGCAUGUGCAAAAGGAUUCAAAUAUAAAAUAAAAGUUUUAGGGGAAAAAGCAACAUAAGAUUUUGUUGCUCUAACCAAACUAGUAGCAAAUGAAUAAAUGAAUGACCUUAAAAGGUGAAGUUUUAUACACCGGUAGUCUGUUAUUGCUUAUUUCUUGCUGUCACAAUGAUUAUGAUCAUUACUAGCUAAUCACAACGAUUUCCAAACCAAUACUUCCUGUGUACCAAAAUCCAAAACAAAACUCCCUUAAAUUUGGUCCUAUGAUGCUUUGACAAAGAAAAAAAAAAAACCUUUUGGUAGACUUCCUCUUGCCA
rnacentral:misc_RNA from 1 species